rnacentral:rRNA from 1 species
GACGAACGCUGGCGGCGUGCUUAACACAUGCAAGUCGAGCGGUAAGGCCCUUUCGGGGUACGACGAGCGGCGAACGGGUGAGUAACACGUGGGUGACCUGCCCUCCAGCUCUGGGAGUAAGACCCGGGAAACCGUGGGUCGUAAUACCGGAUAUGACUCCAUGACGCAUGUUGUGGGGUGGAAAGCCUUGUGCGGCUGAGGAUGGGCCCGCGGCCUAUCAGCUUGUUGGUGGGGUGAUGGCCUACCAAGGCGACGA